rnacentral:rRNA from 1 species
CCUACGGGUGACAGCAGUGGGGGAUAUUGCACAAUGGGGGAAACCCUGAUGCAGCGACGCCGCGUGAGCGAAGAAGUAUUUCGGUAUGUAAAGCCCUAUCAGCAGGGAAGAAGGAAUUGCGGUACCUGGGUAAAGAGCACCGGCUAAAUACGGGCCAGCAGCCGCGGUAAUACGUAGGGUGCAAGCGUUAUCCGGAUUUACUGGGUGUAAAGGGAGCGCAGGCGGCACUGCAAGUCUGGUGUGAAAGGCCGCGGCCCAACCGCGGGACUGCAUUGGGAACUACCGGGCUGGAGUGCCGGAGAGGCAGGCGGAAUUCCUAGUGUAGCGGUGAAAUGCGUAGAUAUUAGGAGGAACACCAGUGGCGAAGGCGGCCUACUGGACGGUGACUGACGCUGAGGCUCGAAAGCGUGGGGAGCAAACAGGAUUAGAUACCCGAGUAGUC